CUUUUCAUUGAGGACGAUGAUGAUUGAGGAUGAUUUGAUGAAGAAUUCAAUAUGGUAUGUAUUUCUUUAAUGUUCCUACAACAUAUAUGUAUUUGUUAUGCCUAUAUUUUGUAUUUGUACUUAAUAAUUUAGGUUUUCUAUAGUAAAAUUUCUUGGUUAGGAAUGGAACCUAUGCUUAUUACAUUGCGGUCUAUGGGAAAUUAGUUCUCACUUUAUUAACUCUCACUUUAUGAACUAGGCUUCGGAACCAAUUAGUUUGUAAAGUCAGGAACUACCUGUAUUCGUGCCUCGGUUAACGGAAAAGUCCCAGUCACUUUCUUUGUCGAUUUGCCUAAAGCAGAUACACAGUCUACUGAGGCCACUCUUCUAGCUUGUCUUUCUAAAUUUGGGCUCAGUAAUGGCUUUCUUGCCAAAAACUGGAUUGGGGCUUGCAGUGAUGGUGCAAGUAUAAUGCUUGGGAGAAAGUCAGGUGUUCUGGAAUGACUCAGUAAAAAAAUAUCCACAGCUUGUGAAAUGGCACUGCUUUUGUCAAAGGCUUGAAUUGUGCAUUUCAGAUACAAUUGAUUCUAUUUUUUGUCUUCGUCAUGUAACAUUAUUUUUUGAGAAGUUUUAUCCUGUGUAUCAUCAGUCCUCAAAAAAUCUGGCAGGGCUCUCUGAACGUGCAAAAGAAUGAGAAAUACAAAUUCUUAAAAAUUGGAACCUUUUUUACUCAGUUAGAUGGGUGGCUUGAAGAGUCACAUCCUGCACUACACAGUCAUUUCUUGAAAGCAAGCUUAAGCUCGGCUCAUAACAGUAAGCAGAAAUUUAGUGGCCUUAACAAGGUCUUGACAUCAGAAGAUUAUUUGUUAAACCUUGCAGGGGUUGCAGAUGCUGUUCAGAAAAUGGGACUGAUAUCUGAAGCUCUACAAAGAGAUGACAUCACACUUCCACAAGCCUUCCAUCAGCUGAUUAAUCGUUCAGUUCGUGCAGUUGAAAAAAUGACAGACAUGCCUGGCAAACAUCUGAAAGAAGUCAUGGAAUCGCUGGGAAAGGGAAUUUCAAAGGUGUGACCAUGAAUCCAGGGAGUUCAAAAGGCCAAGUGAGGUUAAACCUCCCUCGAUUUUAUCAAUGUUUGGUGGAUAAUUUAUGCUCCAGACUCUUUGCUUUACCUGCGAGCAACAGACCUGCAGCUUAAUCACAGUCAGGUGAAUUUUAAACUCUAGUCUCUGAAAUGGACAGUCUGAAUUCACAAUGUUGGCCAAUCAAUGUGGACAGUAUGUAGUUUGACGGUAAAGUAAAGCUGGAGCAGCUGUGCAAAAGAUUCAGUCUCACCUAUCUGUGAAGGUUUCAGAGACUACAUUAAUAAUGGUAGUGCAGAGAUUCCUGAAAAUCUGAAACCAAUGGUGACAGCAGUUAACAGUCUUCAAAUGACAUCUGGUGAUUGUGAAAGGAGUUUCAGUACCAAUUUGGUGAUGUCACACAUUAGGAGUGGGCUUGGCAUUGAACGCCUGUCUUCUCUUUUGUUUAUUAGUCUCAUUGGCCCUCCUGUGCAUUUAUGGGAUCCUUUACCAUACGUCACAAAAUGGCUGACCACACAUUGCAGCCCAGAUGAUACUAAAUCUCGAAACAUUGAUAAUCUUGCACGGCAGGGGCAACGUUAUUCCAGUUUGUGGGAUAUUUUCUAACGGUCUGUGUGUUUAGUUUUUUUUUUAAAUACACUAUUUGUUUUAGAAAUUCCCUGUGAGGGGAAGAUCAUCACACAUUGUGGUGAUUAUCCUGUUAGUAUGACAAACAAGUUAACUUAUUUUGUUGUUACAUUUGUUUACUGCACUGCACUGGCACUUUACAAUAAAUGUUGCACUGUAUUUUCUGAGAAAUAUAUAUAUGACGCAUACUUUUUUGGGGGGCGGGGAUGUUCAACAAUUAGGUAUUUUCAGGUAUUAGGUAUUUUCAAUUUAUCAGAUAAACUAUUGAAUAAAGCAUACAUCAAACUACUCAGUAAAGGUCUAAAAUUUGCUUUAUCAUGUUUUAAUAAACCUUUUGACAAAAGUUUAUAUGCAAACGAUGCAUUUAACAAUUCUUUCACAAUCAUAAGAAUGAUGAUAAUCCCAACUCUAUAAGUAAGGAUAUGAAUGACACGGGAGUUAUCCAUACCUCUUUAACCCCUUAAGGACCAAACCUAUGCAAUAAAAGGGAAUCAUGGCAUGUGUCCUUAAGGGGCUAAAGGAUAGAUAGACCUUCUUCCCCAAACAAUAUUAAAAUGGGUGUCUGAAAGUUUAUGAAAAGUUAGCUAUGACAGAUAUAAAGAGGAUUAAAUAUAAAAGAAAGAACACUUUAACUAAGAACCAACAAAAGGUUUGAAAUGAAUUACAACAUGAUGCCAAUAUUAUAAUUAAAGAGAAAUAAAUAGAAAUACUUUGCCGUGAUCUAUAGACAAUUGGAUGAUGUAUUAACAUAAGAGAAACUAGAGGGGAACCCCACAGAAAAAAAAAAAAAAAUCAAAGAAAUGAAAUAUCAGACUUUAUUGGAAAAGGGUAAAGAGUUGAAUAUUCUUAAUAAAGACGAAUUUCAAUACCUGAGUAUUAGAGUAAGGACUCUAAGCACUUGGAAGAAGACCUCAGGUCGAAACGCGUCUGAUAAGAGACUGUUUAUUAAGGUUUGAUAUUGCCAGCGGUGAGUUUUUUUAUUCUGUGUACUUGCUUUUAGUAUCAGCUACACUGCUUAAAGUUCAUUCUUGGCCUAUCUCCUUAAUCAUCAAUUUAUUUUACUUCAACGUUUAUAAUAAAUAUAAUUUUUUAAUCUACUGGAUCAUUGUGGUACUACUCCUGAAUUUCGUUUAGCCUGGAUAGGUACCCUUGGGCUGUAUCUACAGAAUCUGAUACGGCUCUGCACCAUGUCAGUGUGGUUCCAUUUGCACCCACUAUUGUAUAUACCAAACAGAUUUACGCUAUGUUGGUUUUAUAUUUUCUCUUGUAGGUCUAUAAAUGAUUCUAAGACCCCUGCCUUUUACCUACAUAAGUAUCUUUAUUGUUUUACUUAAUGUGUUACACUUCUGGUGUUUUGUAUUGGUACUUAUUCUGGUUUACCUUGUUUUCUCUAGGGCCAGGAAAGCACUUUUAAAACGUAACAAAUAUUUAUCUUAAAAAGCGCCUAGAUACACUUUUCUGUUUCUUAUUUUGAUUAUUAAAUCUAUGUUUUAGGCAUUAUUCACUUUGCAUUUACUAAACUGAAAUAUAUGUAUAUUUCUAGCCUGAGAUAUAUUUAUAGUAAGAUCUUAAUAAUUUUAAAUAAUUUUCCUUUUGCAACAUUGUAUAGUGUUUAAUUACAAAUUGACAAAAAACAUGUGCAACUGUUUAGAAGGAAUUACACUGAAUUAUGUUUGACUCGUUUUUUAAUGCCCGCUGUUUUAAAUUAGAUAUGUGUUCAUGAAAUGUUCUAUUAGCAAUUGUACAUGUGACUAUAUACAGGUGAUACUCGAAAAAUUAAAAUAUCGUGCAAAAGUUAAUUUAUUUCAGUAAUGCAAUGUAAAAGGGGAAACGAAUAUAUGAUAGUUAGCAAGAUAGUUCAAGCCGUGAUUUGUCAUAAGUGCAAUGAUUAUGGCUUACAGCUCAUGAAAACCCCAAAUCCACAAUCUCAGUAAAUUAGAAUAUUACAUGAAAUCAAUAAAACAAGGAGUGUACAUAGAACAAUAUCAGACCUCUGAAAAGUAUAAGCAUGCAUAUGGACUCAGUACUUGGUUUGGGCCCAUUUUGCAGCAAUUACUGCCUCAAUGCGGCGUGGCAUGGAAGCUAUCAGCCUGUGGCACUGCUGAGGUGUAUGCUUCAAUAGCGGCCUUCAGCUCUUCUGCAUUGCUCGGUCUCAUGUCUCAUCUUUCUCUUGGCAAUGCCCCAGGCUUUGGUGCUUUUGGCAGUGUGGGCAGGUGCAAAGUCCUGCUGGAAAAUGAAGUCAGCAUCCCCAUAAAGCUCGUCUGCGGAAGGAAGCAUGAAGUGCUCCAAAAUCUCCUGGUAGACGGCUGUGUUGACCCUGGACUUAAUGAAGCACAGUGGACCAACACCAGCAGAUGACAUGGCUCCCCAAAUCAAUACAGACUGUGGAAACUUCACACACAGUGUGUGCCUCUCCAUUCUUCCUCCAGAUUCUGGGUCCUUGUUUUCCAAAUGAGAUGCAAAAGUUGCUCUCAUCAGAAAAGAGGACUUUGGACCACUGAGUAACAGACCAGGUCUGUUUUUCUUUAGCCCAGGUAAGACGCUUCUGAUGUUGUUUGUUGUUCAGGAGCGGCUUGACAAGAGGAAUACACAGAUACACAGAUUCGUCUGUGUGUGGUGACUCUUGAUGCACUGACUCCCGCCUCAGUCCACUCCUUGUGAAAGUCCCCAACACUUUUGAAUGGCCUUUUCCUGACAAUCCUCUCCAGGCUGCGGUCAUCCCUGCUGCUUGUGCACCUUUUCUUGCACACUUUUGGAACAUCCAACCUCCUUUGCAAUUACCUUUUGAGGCUUUCCCUCCUUAUGGAGGGUGUCAAUUAUGGUUUUCUGCACAACUGUCAGGUCAGCAGUCUUCCCCAUGAUUGUGAUUCCUACUGAUCUAGACUGAGAGACCAAUUAAAUUCUCAGAAACCCUUUGCAGGUGUUAUGGCUUACUUAGCUGAUUAGAGUGGUGUCAUGUUACAUGAUAUUGUUUUAUUAUAAUGUACUGUUUCUUUAAUGUUCAUCUUUAGUUUGUCUCCUGGACCACUCUGAAGUUUGCAUGCUGCUUCAGGUACUCCCCUCCCCUUCUCCUGUUCUAAUGUUUUCUAUGCUAAACAUUCAAUGGGACUUGUGGUAUCUCUCCUAACCUGUAUGGAAGAAUCGUUCUUUUACCUGUUGUGACUGCACAUUCUACAGAUCAUACGACGAAUUAACAUCGCCAGAUCUUCUUUCAUGUGAGUUGUGACUCAGUAAACUAUCUAGGAAGGUGAUUUGGUACGGAUAAUCUCAUCAGGGCAAUGAACGCCAUGUGCUCUUGAAAACCACAUUCAUAGCCUUUGCAGCCGUUCCAGAAUAAGUGGGACACUGUGAGACUAGAAUAUUGCACCUUUUCACAAUAUUCUAAUCUACUGAGAUUGUGGAUUGGGGUUUUCAUGAGCUGUAAGCCAUAAUCAUCGCACUUAUGACAAAUCACGGCUUGAACUAUCUUGCUUUGCGUGUAAUGCGUCUAUCUCAUAUUAGUUUCCCCUUUUACGUUGCAUUACUGAAAUAAAUUAACUUUUGCACGGUAUUCUAAUUCUAGAAUUCUAAUCACUUGUAAGCAAAGACUUUGAAAUAUUAGCCAGUCAUUAAGGUAACAGUAAUUCUGGAACACGCACUAGGUUAAAGAUGCUAUGUCAGAAAAUGGGCUAGAUAUAAUAUAUUAUUGUAGAGAAAUUAAAAAGUUCAUGUUAUUCUUAAAUCUUUUGUUAUCAUUCAGUAUUAUCAUUCUUCUUUAUAUUUUGUCUUUUCUAGAACCUUAGCUUUAUGCUUAAAAGUCAGUUUGAGUGAAGAAAGUCAGAAUGGAUAUCCGCAACUUUUUUACAAAGCCUAGUAAAGCAAAUACAUCCUCAUCAAGCUCAGAAGCAUGUCAACAAAAAGAGAUCACUGAAUCACCAGUCAGGCAUCAUUUUGUUGAGCCAGAAAAGGAAUAUGCUGAGACAGUGUCUUUAGAAGCAGUUGGCCUCAUG